rnacentral:tRNA from 1 species
UUGGUUCAGUGGUAGAAUGCUCGCCUGCCACGCGGGCGCCCCAGGUUCGAUUCCCGAUGCAU